CGCCGGCUGAGGACAAAGGAAGAGAACAACCAGACUAGCAACUUGGAAGCCUGUCGAUAGGCCGAAGAGUUCGCGAAAUGCUAAUAUAUCGACUACACUCGUAGAAGCUUAAGUGCCGAUAUUUUUGGACGUGGGUUCGACUCCCACCGUCUCCACCA
rnacentral:tmRNA from 1 species